rnacentral:rRNA from 1 species
AUUGAACGCUGGCGGCAGGCCUAACACAUGCAAGUCGAACGGUAGCACAGAGAGCUUGCUCUCGGGUGACGAGUGGCGGACGGGUGAGUAACGUCUGGGAAACUGCCCGAUGGAGGGGGAUAACUACUGGAAACGGUAGCUAAUACCGCAUAACGUCGCAAGACCAAAGUGGGGGACCUUCGGGCCUCACACCAUCGGAUGUGCCCAGAUGGGAUUAGCUAGUAGGUGGGGUAAUGGCUCACCUAGGCGACGAUCCCUAGCUGGUCUGAGAGGAUGACCAGCCACACUGGAACUGAGACACGGUCCAGACUCCUACGGGAGGCAGCAGUGGGGAAUAUUGCACAAUGGGCGCAAGCCUGAUGCAGCCAUGCCGCGUGUAUGAAGAAGGCCUUCGGGUUGUAAAGUACUUUCAGCGGGGAGGAAGGCGGUGAAGUUAAUAACUUCACCGAUUGACGUUACCCGCAGAAGAAGCACCGGCUAACUCCGUGCCAGCCGCCGCAGUAAGAC